rnacentral:ncRNA from 1 species
GUCGUCGUGAGGCGGGGUCUGAAAGAAGCCUGGAGCAAAGCCACGACCUGACGAACAGAAACCAGAUACGAGGCCUACCCGGCCGGACGAGCAAGCAUGUGAUUGCGAAGUCCAUAACCAUCAAGGGUUGGGGUGGUAAAUCUGGCAGGUGUGUGGCGAAGGCGGUUGAG